rnacentral:tRNA from 1 species
GCAGAUAUAGUUUUAACCAAAACAUUAGAUUGUGAUUCUAAAAAUAGAAGUUAGACUCUUCUUACCUGCC